rnacentral:rRNA from 1 species
GAUGAACGCUAGCGGCAGGCUUAACACAUGCAAGUCGAGGGGUAACAUUGUAGCUUGCUACAGAUGACGACCGGCGAACGGGUGCGUAACGCGUAUAGAAUCUGCCUUGUACAGGAGGAUAGCCUUUAGAAAUGAAGAUUAAUACUCCAUAAUACUGAGAUGCGGCAUCGCAAUUUAGUUAAACAUUUAUGGGUACAAGAUGACUAUGCGUCCUAUUAGCUAGAUGGUAAGGUAACGGCUUACCAUGGCGACGAUAGGUAGGGGGUCUGAGAGGAUUAUCCCCCACACUGGUACUGAGACACGGACCAGACUCCUACGGGAGGCAGCAGUGAGGAAUAUUGGUCAAUGGAGGCAACUCUGAACCAGCCAUGCCGCGUGCAGGAAGACUGCCCCUAUGGGUUGUAAACUGCUUUUAUACAGGAAGAAACAGUCGUACGUGUACGGCCUUGACGGUACUGUAAGAUAAGGACCGGCUAACUCCGUGCCAGC